GGGCCCGUAGCUCAGCAAGGUAGAGCGGCGGACUAGUACGGGACUAGGUUGAGGCUCUUAAGCACUUUCACACGGAGACACCCGAAAAACAAUAGAAUUUUUCCUCUUGUUUCGGGAAGGUCCCGGGUUCAAUUCCCGGCGGGCCCG
rnacentral:tRNA from 1 species